rnacentral:rRNA from 1 species
UGGGGAAUAUUGCACAAUGGGCGGAAGCCUGAUGCAGCGACGCCGCGUGGGGGAUGAAGGCCUUCGGGUUGUAAACUCCUUUCGACAGGGGCGAAGCUUUUGUGACGGUACCUGUAUAAGAAGCACCGGCUAACUACGUGCCAGCAGCCGCGGUAAUACGUAGGGUGCGAGCGUUGUCCGGAAUUACUGGGCGUAAAGAGCUCGUAGGUGGUUUGUCGCGUCGUCUGUGAAAUUCCGGGGCUUAACUCCGGGCGUGCAGGCGAUACGGGCUGACUUGAGUGCUGUAGGGGAGACUGGAAUUCCUGGUGUAGCGGUGAAAUGCGCAGAUAUCAGGAGGAACACCGAUGGCGAAGGCAGGUCUCUGGGCAGUAACUGACGCUGAGGAGCGAAAGCAUGGGUAGCGAACAGG